rnacentral:rRNA from 1 species
CCUGAACGCCGGCGGCGUGGCUAAGACAUGCAAGUCGCACGGAGCCGUAGCAAUACGGUUCAGUGGCGAACGGGUGAGUAAUGAAUCGCUAAUGUACCCCGGACUCUGGGAUAGCCAGACCGAAAGGACUGGGUAAUACCAGAUGAUAUGCAGCUGUCGCAUGACAGUUGCCUCAAAGGUCCGCCGGUCUGGGAGCAGGCGAUUUCGCAUCAGCUAGUUGGUGAGGUAACGGCUCACCAAGGCGACGACGCGUAACCGGACUGAGAGGUUGGCCGGUCACAUUGGGACUGAGACACUGCCCAGACUCCGUACGGGGGGCU